rnacentral:rRNA from 1 species
GGUUAAGCGACUAAGCGUACACGGUGGAUGCCCUGGCAGUCAGAGGCGAUGAAGGACGUGCUAAUCUGCGAAAAGCGUCGGUAAGGUGAUAUGAACCGUUAUAGCCGGCGAUGUCCGAAUGGGGAAACCCAGUGUGAUUCGUCACACUAUCGUUAACUGAAUACAUAGGUUAACGAGGCGAACCGGGGGAACUGAAACAUCUAAGUACCCCGAGGAAAAGAAAUCAACCGAGAUUCCCCCAGUAGCGGCGAGCGAACGGGGAGCAGCCCAGAGUCUGAAUCAGCUUGUGUGUUAGUGGAACGGUCUGGAAAGUCCGACGGUACAGGGUGAUAGUCCCGUACACCAAAAUGCACAGGUUGUGAACUCGAAGAGUAGGGCGGGACACGUGGUAUCCUGUCUGAAUAUGGGGGGACCAUCCUCCAAGGCUAAAUACUCCUGACUGACCGAUAGUGAACCAGUACCGUGAGGGAAAGGCGAAAAGAACCCCGGCGAGGGGAGUGAAAAAGAACCUGAAACCGUGUACGUACAAGCAGUGGGAGCACCUUCGGGUGUGACUGCGUACCUUUUGUAUAAUGGGUCAGCGACUUAUAUUCUGUAGCAAGGUUAACCGUAUAGGGGAGCCGCAGGGAAACCGAGUCUUAACUGGGCGUUAAGUUGCAGGGUAUAGACCCGAAACCCGGUGAUCUAGCCAUGGGCAGGUUGAAGGUUGGGUAACACUAACUGGAGGACCGAACCGACUAAUGUUGAAAAAUUAGCGGAUGACUUGUGGCUGGGGGUGAAAGGCCAAUCAAACCGGGAGAUAGCUGGUUCUCCCCGAAAGCUAUUUAGGUAGCGCCUCGUGAAUUCAUCUUCGGGGGUAGAGCACUGUUUCGGCUAGGGGGUCAUCCCGACUUACCAACCCGAUGCAAACUACGAAUACCGAAGAAUGUUAUCACGGGAGACACACGGCGGGUGCUAACGUCCGUCGUGAAGAGGGAAACAACCCAGACCGCCAGCUAAGGUCCCAAAGUCAUGGUUAAGUGGGAAACGAUGUGGGAAGGCACAGACAGCCAGGAUGUUGGCUUAGAAGCAGCCAUCAUUUAAAGAAAGCGUAAUAGCUCACUGGUCGAGUCGGCCUGCGCGGAAGAUGUAACGGGGCUAAACCAUGCACCGAAGCUGCGGCAGCGAC